UUAAGAGGUUAUCUUGUUGCCGAUGCAUCUUGAGUUGUCGUUCUUCCACAACGAAGGUGAGCAGUGUUCAUUACCUUCAUUGGGAGGUACGUGCGCAUGAACACUUCAGUUCAUCCCCCAUUUGGAUAUUGCACUCUUCAGUUCCACUGACCUCACGGGACUAAUACCGUUUAAGUGGGAGUUCUCUCGGAUGCAAAAGUAACUUUGCCACUAAUUUUACCCCUAUUAAGUAAAUGUAGAUGGUAUGUUUCUGCAUGAAUACAGUUUGAUAGUACUGAGCAGCCAUACCAAACAGUUAAAAAUUUCAAGAUUAUACUAACAAAAAAUGACAACAAUUUUUACUGUAGUAUACCUUUUUCACUAUGAGGUAAAGGACAUGGACUAAAAAGUUCAUGAUCUGCACUACCGUUUCUAUUGCAGAUGGCCAAAGUUAUUAGUUUCCAACCAAAUUGGAAGCGAAAAUCAAAGCAUGUGUGCAAGAUUUUUAUAGAAACUCCCAAGCCCUUCCAAAAUGAGAUCACUGGACAUAAUAAAUAAACUAUGCGUUGAUUAUAGAAUGAACUAGCGAAAACUGUCCCCAAAUGUUUUCCCUUCUCAUUCAUAUGUCGCCCAUAAAUAAAUUAGCAUGCCUUUUUCUGAUAUCAGAUUGGUUCAGAUGCAAGGACGUGCUACAAUGCACUCUAUUUUUUAUUCUGAAAUUGAUGGCAUCUUGUGCAUACAAUAUAUCAAGUAGUUUCUAAUUUACAUAGUAAGUACUUCUGAUAUCAGAUUGGUUCAGAUGCAAGGACGUGCUACAAUGCACUCUAUUUUUUUAUUCUGAAAUUGAUGGCAUCUUGUGCAUACAGUAUAUCAAGUAGUUCCUAAUUUACAUAGUAAGUACUAUGAGAUACAUCAUUGGCUUAACUUCUUAUGCACAAAAGGAAUGUUUUUUAUUGCUGUAUAUGCAUAGCUUGAUGCACAGAAUAGUUAGCUCUAACAUAUUGACAAAUCUUAUGAACAUCCUACUGAACCAUAUAUUUGGUUGCAAGUUCAUAAUGAGCUGGGUAAUGAAUGCAUACCUUACAGUCACACAUCUGCUUUCUUUGUUUUGUUUAAGACUAAAAUGGCAUGUAGUUGUUUAAGAUUUUGCCAGCUUUGAUGUCAGCAAGUCAUUUGCACCCAUUAACUAGACAAUAUGCUUAUCAAUUAGUACAGAAGUAAAUUAACUGUUAGAUAGUCAUUCAUUGGUUUCCAUUUCACUGAUUUUUUUUUCUGUUGUUCCACUUAAGGAAAAGUCUUGUUCAUCACUGCAUAAUGUGUUUCUCCACUCCGUUUUAAUGCUACAUUCUCCUUUUUCACAAAAAAGAUAAUAUUUUAAUGUUACUUUGUCCAUAUUUUUGUAGGGCCAUGGUGGCAUUACUAUCAACCAAACUGGCCGGCAUUGAUUAUCGAUGUACGAGGAGCCCAUGUGUUUUAGGCUCAUGUUGAAAUAAAGGAAAAUCUACAGGAAACAAUAUUCAGAUUUUGGAAUGGGCGCUGGGCGGUACCUUGGACUGGACAAACAAUUGCCCAGGAUAAAGGAGGCAAUGGUGCCCAAACCAACAUCUUCCCCACCUCAGAGCUUCAAAUCUGGUGUCUGAGGCAUCGAAAGAUUGGACCAUGAGGAUUGGAGUUUGAACAAGAUGCAAUUGAUGUGAGAGGAAGAGAUGUCUCUCAUGCACUGUUGACGAGAAGUGGGUUGGGGGUGUAAAAGCUCAAGAUACUGUACAAGCUAAAUGUGGUUGCCCCUUUCUCUUAUACAUGUUUGUUUUCGUUCGGAGCACAUUACAAUUUAGUUCUAACAUGGAUUUCAUUUAUCUUGUAAAUAUUACAAUCAAAUUAUAGAUCUGAAUGUUUGCUUCC